CGCAUCUGUGCAUGCAGCAUAUCAAUAAGCGGAGGAAAAGAAACUAACAAGGAUUCCCCUAGUAACGGCGAGUGAAGCGGGAAGAGCUCAAAUUUGAAAUCUUAAAGGGUUUCCCUUUACGAAUUGUAGUUUAAAGAAGUGUUUUCUGUUGAGGUUUUGGUAAAAGUUCUUUGGAAUAGGACAUCGAUAGAGGGUGAGAAUCCCGUAUUUGACCUUUACUUUCAACUUUGUGAUACACUUUCAAAGAGUCGGAUUGUUUGGGAAUGCAGUCCAAAAUGGGUGGUAAAUUUCAUCUAAAGCUAAAUAUUGGCGAGAGACCGAUAGCGAACAAGUACCGUGAGGGAAAGAUGAAAAGAACUUUGAAAAGAGAGUUAAACGAGUACGUGAAAUUGUCAAAAGGGAAGCGUUUGACACCAGUGUUGUUUUUCUGAAGAUCAAUUAAAGAACUGUUUAUGCUAAGCUGUUUAGACUUUAUCAGCUAACUGUUUAGUUUUGAGCUUUUCUUUAAUGCACUUUUCAGUUAACAAGUCAACAUCAAUUUCUUUUGCUGUAAAAAAGCUUGAGGAAGGUGGCUUGAGAUUCGUCUUAAGUGUUUAUAGCCUCUUGCCUAUGCAGUCGGAGAGAUUGAGGUCUGCAGCGUAGAUCCUUCGGGGCUAAAUGCAUUUGUGCUAAGUUAUAGCAUUUUAUAGACAACUUGUUGACUAUGAUUUGUCUUGUAGCUUACUCGCUUAUGUUAUUUUACCUACGCUUAGGAUGUUGAGUCAUCACACAUCUCU
rnacentral:rRNA from 1 species